rnacentral:rRNA from 1 species
GUAGUUAGCCGGGGCUUCCUCCUUGGCUACCGUCACUUUCUUCGUCACCAAGGACAGAGGUUUACAACCCGAAAGCCUUCUUCCCUCACGCGGCGUUGCUGGGUCAGGCUUGCGCCCAUUGCCCAAUAUUCCCCACUGCUGCCUCCCGUAGGAGUCUGGACCGUGUCUCAGUUCCAGUGUGGCCGAUCAGCCUCUCAGCUCGGCUACCCAUCGUUGGCUUGGUGGGCCGUUACCUCACCAACUACCUAAUGGGACGCGAACCCCUCUUAAAGCGGAUUGCUCCUUUGACCUCAUCCCGAUGCCGGGUCGUGGUCUUAUGCGGUAUUAGCACUUGUUUCCAGGUGUUAUCCCCCUCUUUAAGGCAGGUUGUUCACGCGUUACUCACCCGUUCGCCACUAAGUCAAAACCGAAUCUUGUACUCCGUUCGACUUGCAUGUGUUAGGCACGCGCCACGCGUCGUCUGAGCACUGAUACAACUACUCGA